UAAGGAGGGUGGUGUAGGAUAAGAAGGGUGGUGAAUGAUAAAGAGAUUGUUUAUGAUGUUGUUGUUGUUGUUGUUGGAGGAGGAAGUGGUGGUGUAGGAUAAGGAAGGUGGUGAAGGAUAAGAAGGGUUGUUGUUGUUGGAGGAAGUGGUGGUGUAGGAUAAGGAAGGUGGUGUAGGAUAAGAAGGGUGGUUGUUGAUGUUGGAGGAGGAAGUGGUGGUGAAGGAUAAGGAAGUGGUGGUGAAGGAUAAGGAAGGUGGUGAAGGAUAAGAAGGGUGGUUGAUGAUGAAGUUGGAGGAGGAAGUGGUGGUGAAAGGGGAAAGGGGCAUGGUAAUAAAAGAGGGGGAAGAGGGAAGAGGUGGGUGGGGGAUAGGUAUGGUGGGAGG
rnacentral:lncRNA from 1 species